GCACCUAUUGCUGCUGGCCCUGCCCAGAUCCUGUCAGCUGCUGUUGCACGAGCUGGGGGCUACCAGUGACUCUCUUCUCACCCUUAGGUUCCUCUAGUUCAGGGACCCCCUAUCCACCACUCCAGAGUGUUCCUCUGCAGAUUGUGCUGGAACUGGAGCUGUUUGCCUUGGCGACUGAGUAACUAAUGUUACAGAGGAAGAUUAAUUGUGCUUUUAUAUUUAGGGUGGCAGAUGGUACUUAAUGUAGGAAAUCUGGCAGAUGAGGAUGAAAUUCUGGUCAAAUUCCCCACUCCAUCUGGUUUAGCAGAAACUUGUGUCUUGAGCUAGCAGACUUUGCCAGAAAACAAAAUUAUCAAAACAUCAGCUUGACAUUGUGUGGACCAACACUUCAUAACUAAGAUGUAAAUGGAAAAGACUUCUCCCUUCUCUCAAGAAUUCUAUUUAUUAAGAGAAAGAAAGUGUUACAAAAAAUAAAGAAUUCUGAAGCAAAGAAGUGGCUGUGGAAAGAAGAAAGGGGUCCAGAAAGAAUAAGGGGAAGAUUCUAGCUGGAGGAAAGUUCUUUAAACUCAGAGAAGAUCCUGGAGAUGGGAGAGGAGCAUGAAGAUAAAUGCCUGACCUUGGCUGGUGAUGCCCCAAACUGGUAACUACCAGGAGCUGCAUAGCAGGAAGCAACACAACUUUAUGCCUGAUCCUCCCAGAGCAGCAAAGAUGUUCCUGCAGGGAAGGGAAGUCAGCAUCUAGUGAACUACUGUAUUAUCUCUACAUUUUUUUUCAACCUAAAUGAUUCUAUGAACUUAAUGUUGUGGGAAGGAGAGGGAGAUAACCAAGCAGAAAAAAAGCUCUAACCUCUUUUGUUUGUUUUCUAUAAUGAAUUUGCUUGACUGAAUAAAGAUUUGUUAGCUCAGGGACUCAUCUCAUCCCUUCUGCUAUCCAUAUUGGUCUCCAAAUCAUAAUCUUUUUACUUUAUGUUCUCUCUGUUCUCAUGAAUACUUUUGCAAAUACACACAAGUAUACAACAUUAAACCAAAAGGGUCUAAGACCUGUA